ensembl:lncRNA
AUAUAUAUAUAGAUAUAUAUAUACCGUGUAUAAUAUUUGUAUACAGAUAUUUCUAUAUUAUUUAUGUCAAUAUAUAUGUAUAUUCUGUCCCAAAGAAAAAAAUAUGGAUAAAUAGAAUUCAAAAGACUGCUGCAGUGAUAAUGCUUCGCUUCCUAACCAUGUUUUGGUCUUUAUAAAUGGGAGGUCUAAUCAUUUGCAAUUACCUACCCCCUAAAAUCCUUUGGCAUCUUUGCUCUUGUUUACCUUUAAGUUCUCUAACCAGGCAACAUGACAUCUCAUUUUAACCUCCUAAUUUUAACCUCCUAAUUGCCUAAACCGAACCAGUCCUCCUAAGUCCAGGACUGGUUCGCCUCCAUCCCGACAGCCACGCAAUGGAAAUGACAACUUUUCCAAAAUUCCUCACGGUCACAGAUCCGAAUAUUUGUCCAUCUAAAUUUGUGUGGGCCUAUUUGCCUUGUACAAUGAUGUAUACAUGAGCAUGUUUGUGAUGUUGCAUUAAAAUACCAAUGAUAAUAUCAUGUAUAACAUGAACAUAUAAUGAACUAAUAAAGAGGUUAAGUUACAUCUCUGUUCAAAUAUCUCUAAUGAUCAUUACCUAAAGUCAUUAUGUUCCAAGACCGAUUGUUGCAAUGUCUAACACAUCUGUUUUAGGCUUAACAACACGGGCAAAAAUGGGCAACCGUUAUUAAACUCAUCAGCCAUGUCGUUAUCCAACAUCUCUAGUGAGGGGAGCUGGGCGACACUGGUCGGGGGGUUUGCAUGAUGCACCCAUGGUCAUGUGACAAAGAUGGCCGUUGUUACUACAAAGCUCUUGUUUGAAAGAAUAAAAGAGGGUUUGUGGUCGGAUUGGUUUCUCCCCCAGCUGCAGGUUGGUGGAGCAUUACAUAAGCAUCACAUGACUGAAUUGGGCAGUGAACAUAUAGAUCGGUACGGGGUCCAACACACAGUAGUCCGGUAUCUCUUCUGCCUCUUUUCAUUAACAGAUACCUUUUACACUACACGCGUCCCCCUAAAUGCCGAUUUAGUUCUAGCUGAUUAAUUAAGAUACUCUGAAUUAUCUUGCUUCUUGACUGAUAAAUGACACCACAGGAAUUCGGUUUGAGUGUGGAAUGCUGCACGGCUGUGUGUUUGUCCUGCUUAUGCAUUGACAUGUGAGAGAUCCUGGUAUGCAGCAAAGCCUGUUUCAAGUUGAGUGUUAACAGACUGCCAAAAUCCUCUGCAAGCAAAUAAACGUAGGAAACCAGACUAUGAUGACAUUUCACAAUAUGGAGGUAUGGAGACUGAAACGUGUGUGAAUCACAGCUUACAUUUCUGUAACUGUAAAUUUUGCUACGGUGUCAUAUUAUUUGAUAUGAGGGUAAUCACGCUAGAUAAUUAUUCAUAUUAUAGGGAUAUGGGAUAACAUAGAGAGGAGCGGAAAAACUUGUUUUAUGCCUCGUAAU